rnacentral:rRNA from 1 species
GACGAACGCUGGCGGCGUGCUUAACACAUGCAAGUCGAACGGAAAGGCCCUGCUUGCAGGUUACUCGAGUGGCGAACGGGUGAGUAACACGUGGGUGCUCUGCCCUGCACUUCGGGAUAAGCCUGGGAAACUGGGUCUAAUACCGGAUAGGAGCCAUUUUGAGUGGGAUGGUUGGAAAGUUUUUUCGGUGUAGGAUGAGCUCGCGGCCUAUCAGCUUGUUGGUGGGGUAAUGGGCUACCAAGGCGGCGACGGGUAGCCGGCCUGAGAGGGUGGACGGCCACAUUGGGACUGAGAUACGGCCCAGACUCCUACGGGAGGCAGCAGUGGGGAAUAUUGCACAAUGGGCGCAAGCCUGAUGCAGCGACGCCGCGUGGGGGAUGACGGCCUUCGGGUUGUAAACUCCUUUCGCUAGGGACGAAGCUUUUUGUGACGGUACCUAGAUAAGAAGCACCGGCUAACUACGUG